CACGUAGGGUGCGAGCGUUGUCCGGAAUUAUUGGGCGUAAAGAGCUCGUAGGCGGUGUGUCGCGUCGGCCGUGAAAACCUGCAGCUUAACUGUGGGCUUGCGGUCGAUACGGGCAUCACUGGAGUUCGGCAGGGGAGACUGGAAUACCUGGUGUAGCGGUGAAAUGCGCAGAUAUCAGGAGGAACACCGGUGGCGAAGGCGGUUCUCUGGGCCUUACCUGACGCUGAGGAGCGAAAGCGUGGGGAGCAAACAGG
rnacentral:rRNA from 1 species